rnacentral:misc_RNA from 1 species
AAUUGCCCAAAGACAAUUAACCUGCAUAAGCACCACAGAUUAAAUGGGGUAUGCUGAGAUUUCUUCUCAUACAUGUAAAUUGUUCAUCAAAAAAAUAGAAGAGAAAGGCCAUAAAGUCCACAAAAUUAAAUAACGAUGAGCUAUUGCAAAAAACCAAAAUAUUGCAACCGAUGCCCUUGAAAGAAACAAAACACAACAUCUGGGAUCCAUUUCUUCCUUCCCCACGUAAACAAUGUACCGGUUUAGGGAAAACCUUUCUGCUAAUCCAAAACCAACACAUUCUCCAUUAGAUAGCACCUUAGCUUAAAAAUGUACCUGGAUUUUCUCCACAUCAUCA